rnacentral:misc_RNA from 1 species
GGUGUUCUACUACCUAGCCCAAAAUAAUGUGGUAUUUGAGGGCAUCCUGCUAAAACCUAGCAUGGUGACCCCUGGCGCUGAGCACAAGGAGAAGGCUUCCCCAGAUACCAUUGCCAAGUUCACACUCAAGAUGCUGAAUAGGAGGGUUCCUCCUUCGGUUCCUGGAAUUAUGUUCCUGUCAGGAGGACAAUCCGAAAUGGAGGCAACACUGAACUUGAAUGCGAUGAACCAAGGUCCCAACCCAUGGCACGUUUCGUUCUCGUAUGCACGAGCUCUCCAGAACUCGGUCCUGAAAACAUGGCAGGGACGCCCGGAGAAAAUUGAGGCAGCACAGAGAU